UACGGAGGGAGCUAGCGUUAUUCGGAAUUACUGGGCGUAAAGCGCACGUAGGCGGCUUUGUAAGUUAGAGGUGAAAGCCUGGAGCUCAACUCCAGAACUGCCUUUAAGACUGCAUCGCUUGAAUCCAGGAGAGGUGAGUGGAAUUCCGAGUGUAGAGGUGAAAUUCGUAGAUAUUCGGAAGAACACCAGUGGCGAAGGCGGCUCACUGGAGCUGGUAUUGACGCUGAGGUGGCGAAAAGCGUG
rnacentral:rRNA from 1 species